rnacentral:rRNA from 1 species
AAUUUGAUCUUGGUCAGAACGAACGCUGGCGGCAGGCUUAACACAUGCAAGUUGAGCGGAUUAUGUUGGUAGCUUGCUACUGAUAUAUGAGAGCAGCGCACUGGUGAGUAACACGUGGGAACAUACCUUUUUGGUGGGGGACAACAGUUGGAAACGACUGCUAAUACCGCAUAAGCCCUGAGGGGGAAAGAUUUAUUGCCGAAAGAUUGGCCCGCGGAAGAUUAGGUAGUAGGUGGGGUAACGGCCUACCUAGCCAACGAUCUAUAGCUGGUCUGAGAGGACGAUCAGCCACAUUGGGACUGAGACACGGCCCAGACUCCUACGGGAGGCAGCAGUGAGGAAUAUUGGGCAAUGGAGGCAACUCUGACCCAGCCCAUGCCGCGUGAGUGAAGAAGGUUUUCGGAUUGUAAAGCUCUUUCGGACGUGAAGAUGAUGACGGUAGCGUCUAAAGAAGCCCCGGCUAACUUCGUGCCAGCAGCUGC